GCCUGGGUGGCUCAGUCAGUUAAGCGUCUGACUUUGGCUUAGGUCAUGAUCUCACAGUUUGUGGGUUCAAGCCCCAUAUUGGGCU
rnacentral:tRNA from 1 species